GGGGGCAGCACGGAAUUGCAAGAGAGAAAACCCAGCACAUUGGAAAACCAGGCCAGAAGGCGUGAGCGUGAGACCGUGGGUCGCCUUCCCUUAGCGCGGGGUCUCGGGCACUCUCCCGUAGGAAGCGAGCUGCUAGGAAGCGACCUGCGAGGGCGUUGCUUCUGCAAGCACGGCUGCAGCGUCCUGGGCUUUUCCCCGCAAGCGCCGCAGAAAGGAGCGCUCACGGCCGUCUCUGCGCUGCUCACGCUGCACGCCGAUUCCCUGGGGGACACGUAGCUGCUGCGUGAGUUUCUGCGGCGACAGCCCUGAUGAGAGGUGUUUGCAAGCCUUCCUCUGCACCUGCGUUUUCACAGAAUGUUUUCAGGGGCUUUUUGCUGAACCUGGUGUUGCCAGCCAGCCUGAGGCUGAAGUGACAAGCGGGAGUCUCCAGGUCCUGAAUGUCGACUUCUCCAGGAAGAUUAAAGUGAGGCAACUUCAACUUGGAGGAGUUUGUCAGAAGCUCACUACCUGGGGCUGGGCUGGGGCUCAGUGGCAGAGCGCUUGCCUGGCACGCGUGAGGCACUGGGUUCCAUCCUCAGCACCACAUAAAAUAAAUAAACGAAAUAAAGAAAUUGUGUCCAUGUAGAACUAAGAAACAUUUUUUAAAAAAAGAAUUUCACUACGUCAUUGAUGCCAUCAAUGAUGUGAGUGGCUUUUUUUUUUCUUCUGAAUUGGGUGAUACUUUUGACCACUGGAAAAAUAUUUCCUCAGUUUUUUCCCCCUCUAUUCGCAAUGAUUGAUUCCAAGUCUGACACACUUUUAAGUUAAAGCUCUACUAUUAACAUUUUCUCCUGGUCUUUGUGAAGUCUAGACACCACCAACAAAACAAAAAUGAAACAGAAACCAAGCCUCAGUUGCCAUGUCCCUGGCUGGUGCCAGCUGCCACGGCCAUUAAAUUAUAAAUCUAUAUAAUUCCUUUUUCAAUACUAGCCAAUACCAGCUGUGUUUACAGCCGGCUAUCAGGUUCCUGUGAAUGUGGCUCUUGCAGGUUGGGACACCACUGAUUACAACCCUUAUCUGAGACCAGGCAAGCUGCAUGUGCCAUAUGCAGAAUCAUGUCUGCUACCCCAAGAUGUGCGUGCUCCACUCUGCUGUGCUUCACUAAAACAGAGAUUGCUUAUCUCUCUUAGGCUGUGCCCUCUUCUCCUCCUCCUCUCCUUUCCUUCCUGCUAACUCUGCUCCCUACAUACUCCUUGAACACACCACACAUGUCACCUCUUCUUUGAACAUGCGAUUUCCCUACAUGGCUGAUGCCUCACCUUCUUUAGGUCUUUGCUCCAAUGGCACCUUCUUGUGAGGCCUUCCCAACCACCCUACUCAUAGCUGCUACCUUCUUCUCUAUUCCCCCACUGACCAUCCCUCUUCCCUGUUUUAUUUUUCUCCAUAGUGUUGAUUAUCCUCAGUGUAUAAACUACACUGUGUAGAAUACUUUUGAUUAUUUUUUUUUUAUUACCUGUCUCCCUUCUGAGACUGUAUGCAACACAAAGCUUACAUUUUGGGAUUUGUUUUGCUGGACCUUCGAGGUAUAGAAAGUGCCUGGCACAUCACAGGUAGUCAGGACACAGUGUUGAAUAAACUGAAAGAUUCAAUAGCAGAA